CCAGUAUCUGGAGUUCGUAUCCUGCAGGACAAGUUCCCGACAAGCUUCUUGAAUUCUGUAUGGAAUUUAUGCAAUUGGCAGUCAAAAGUAGGAUUUAGGCCACUAGUGAUGAACCACUUCCCAACGAAAUCUACAACAUUAAAGUUCUUGACAAGAAUGGCAGGAUCAGGGACGGAAUUCCAACAUCAGACUUCUAAGGUACACACUUCUUUCAUGAGAUGAACACUCAUUGAAUUCAUCAACUACUCAAAAGCUUGAUCUGCAAAAUAUCUAAAGAGGGUUACCCGUUGAAUAACAUUAUCUAUCUCACCAGGUAUAAGGUAGAACAAGAUUAUUGGACAAUCAAACACUCAAAAGCUUAAGCUGAUAGAGAGGGGUUUGUUUGUUCUAAAAGAGAUGUUACACUGUUUCCUUUAAAAGCUUAUUCUGUUAGUGAUCAUUCUGCUUAUACAUAUUCUUUCUGCAG
rnacentral:lncRNA from 1 species